GCAAGAUACCACGGGCGCACGGCGGAUGCCUUGGCACAGGGAGCCGAUGAAGGACGCGGCAAGCUGCGAUAAUCCCCGGCGAGGAGCACACAUCCUUCGACCCGGGGGUCUCCGAAUGGGCGAACCCAUCCACAGCAGUGUGGAUAUCCCGGCCCCGAACACAUAGGGGCCGGGAGGACAACCCGGGGAACUGAAACAUCUAAGUACCCGGAGGAGAGGAAAUCAAUCUCGAGACUCCCCGAGUAGCGGCGAGCGAAAGGGGACCGAUGGCCAAACCGUCGAGCGGGCAUACCCGGCAGGGGUUCCGCCGACGGGGUUGCAGGGCCGCGCAUCCGGGGGCUGCCGCCCCCGGGCGCAGGUCCGGCUGGGGAGCGGAACGGCAUGGGAGGGCCGGCCGCAGCGGGUGACAGCCCCGUACGCGAACCCAGACCGGACGGCGCGACGCGGUCCCUGAGUAGGGCCGGGCACGUGAAACCCGGUCCGAACCUGGGUGGACCACCAUCCAAGCCUGAGUACUACCCUGUGACCGAUAGCGCACCAGUACCGUGAGGGAAAGGUGAAAAGCACCCCGGGAGGGGAGUGAAACAGUACCUGAAACCGUGCGCCCACGAGCAGUCGGAGCACCCUUGUGGUGUGACGGCGUGCCUUUUGUAGAAUGAGCCAGCGAGUCGCUGGCGCGGGGCGAGGUUAACCGAAAGGGAGCCGGAGCGAAAGCGAGCCUUAACAGGGCGACUUGAGUCCCGCGCCGCGGACGCGAAGCCGGGUGAGCUAUCCGUGGGCAGGCUGAAGCGGGGGUAAGACCCCGUGGAGGGCCGAACGCACGUCGGUUGAAAACGGCGGCGAUGACCUGCGGAUAGGGGUGAAAGGCCAAUCAAACCCGGAGAUAUCUCGUUCUCCCCGAAAUAGCUUUAGGGCUAGCGUCGCGCGUUCACCGCCGGAGGUAGAGCACCGGAUGGACGAGGGGGCUUCGCCGCCUACCGAAUCCAACCGAACUCCGAAUGCCGGCGGCCCAGAGCGCGGCAGUCAGAGCAUGUGGGCUAAGCUGUGUGCUCGAGAGGGAAACAGCCCGGACCGCCCGCUAAGGUCCCCAAGUUCCAGCCGAGUGGCAAAGGAUGUGCGUCCGCCCAGACAACCAGGAUGUUGGCUUAGAAGCAGCCAUCCAUUCAAAGAGUGCGUAACAGCUCACUGGUCGAGUGGACAUGCGCCGACAAUACACGGGGCUAAGCUGGACACCGAAGCGGCGGGAUUUUGAUUUUCAGAAUCGGUAGGGGAGCUUCCCAUGGGCGGUGAAGCCGCCGGGCGACCGGCGGUGGAGCGCAUGGGAGUGAGAAUGCUGGCAUGAGUAGCGAGAGACGAGAGAGUAACUCGUCCGCCGUGAACCCGAGGUUUCCUGGGCAAGGCUAAUCCUCCCAGGGUCAGUCGGGGGCUAAGGCGAGGCCGGAAGGCGUAGCCGACGCGCAGCAGGCAGACAUUCCUGCACCGCGCACGCGGCGCUACGACCGACGGGGCGACGGAUGGGGGUGGCUCGGCGGGGUUCUGGACGUCCCCGUGAUGGAGCGCGGCCCGCGGACCAGGGAAAUCCGGUCCGCACGAGGGCGAGGCUCCGGACGAAGCGACUGAGCGAAGCGAGUGAGCCCGAGGUCCCUAGAAAAACCCCUAGGCAGGCGCGUGCGCGCCCGUACCGCAAACCGACACAGGUGGGUGGGUAGAACAUACCGAGGCGAUCGGGUCAACCAUGGUCAAGGAACUCGGCACAAUGGCCCCGUAACUUCGGGAGAAGGGGUGCCCGCGCGUACGUGAACCGGCUUGCCCGGGGAGCGGAGGCGGGCCGCAGUGGAGAGGCCCAAGCGACUGUUUACCAAAAACACAGGACUCUGCAGAAGCCGCAAGGCGACGUAUAGGGUCUGACGCCUGCCCGGUGCCGGAAGGUCACGCGGAGGAGUUAGCCGCAAGGCGAAGCCCCGAAGCCAAGCCCCGGUAAACGGCGGCCGUAACUAUAACGGUCCUAAGGUAGCGAAAUUCCUUGUCGGGUAAGUUCCGACCUGC
rnacentral:rRNA from 1 species